ACAAAAAAACUACUCUAUAUAUAUAGGCACACACUUGUUAUUCAUACGUUUAUGGCAAUUCCAAAUGAUGCGUGAAUGGGACAGUUGUAUAAUGGUUGUUUGUAACUCAAUCUUCUCUUGGGCGUAGCCAAUAAGCGUUGCAGGCACUGAAAAAUAAAUAAUUGCUCAUGUCAUCGGUAGCCAUCAACAGGAAGAAGCAUAACUAAAAUAAGCACAUCUUGAGACUAUAAUAGGGUCAAUAAAGGUGAUAAUUAGCCCUUACUUAGUGCUUAAUUAAAUCAUGUUGUGGUCCUUAAAUCAUUACUAUACAAAUAAUUAUCACUUAUCUUGACUCUGUCCCAUUGCCCAUUAAUGGAGUUUGCGAACUGCCCCAUCAAAACUAUAAACAUGGUAUUUUCUGGGCGAUUAACUCUUAAUCGCAAUAUGGUCUUGUUCUUUUGUCUACAAUUGCUGAUGUGUCUCUUGUUGAUUUGUCAAACACAUUCCAGCUUUCCUUGUCUUGUCUGGUCAUUGAAGUGGAGUACUGGAUCGUACACAACCGGAGGACGGGCGGCGGCCGAACUUAGCUAUUACAGUGGCUAAGCUCUAAGCAUUAUAGAAUUUAAUCAGGGGCAUGACGUUUUUACCUCAAACUUGUUUAAAUCACAAUUAUUUUUCGAGAGAGUACACACUUUCAUCCUUCAUAGAGAAUUUGUUUUUAUAACUUAGGUUUUCUAUAAAUUUUAAUAUUUCAUUUCAUCCUUAAUGCUUACACCGCAUUUGGUACUGACGUAUUGUACCUUUUAAGACGUACUUGAUAUGAUAAAAAAACUGUAACUAUAAAAUAAAAGUUAUUAGUCUAUUAUAAAUAUAAAUUUUAAAUGAAAAAUGCUUGGUAAAGAGAAGCACGAGAGAAAAACGAGAGAAAUAAAGAAGAAAAUGGUAGAGAGAGAGUGAGUGGGUAGAGAGAGAGAGAGGACAAAAUUCUCUCGUCUUUCUCUCGUGCGUCUCUACACCUAGCACUGCUCAUUUUAAAUAAGGUUUUUCAUUAUAAAAGUGUGAAAUUAAAUCAACUUAACUUUCAAUCCACAACAACAACGAUUUAUCAAACACUUUAAUAAAGGUACAACUUUCCCACCUUAAUACUAAUCAUGGUCUUAGUGACAUAAAAAUCAAUCUUGUUUAUUGAGUACACAUAUUAGAUAAUCGAUUUGUACAAUGAUUAAAGAUCAAAUUUACCUUUCAAUAAUUAUUAUCACAUUGUUAAUAUUUAACUCAUAAAUAAAGUUAACUUUUUUUGGAUAUUUAUUAGCUAGGGACUUGACUAGUCUAAAUAAUUUAUAUGAGGGAUCUCAAAAAAGCAAACUAUGCACAAUCUUAGUUUUGUUUAGAUAAUUAAAUUAAUAGGG
rnacentral:lncRNA from 1 species